UACGGUAGGGUGCGAGCGUUAAUCGGAAUUACUGGGCGUAAAGCGUGCGCAGGCGGUUCGCCAAGUCAGGUGUGAAAUCCCCGGGCUUAACCUGGGAAUUGCGCUUGAAACUAGCGGGCUUGAGUGUGGCAGAGGGGGGUGGAAUUCCGCGGUGUAGCAGUGAAAUGCGUAGAUAUGCGGAGGAACACCGAUGGCGAAGGCAAUCCCCUGGGCCUGCCACUGACGCUCAUGCACGAAAGCGUGGGGAGCGAAACAAGGAUUGAUAA
rnacentral:rRNA from 1 species